CGGUUGAUCCUGCCGGAGGCCACUGCUAUGGGGGUCCGACUAAGCCAUGCGAGUCAUGGGGCGCGCUCUGCGCGCACCGGCGGACGGCUCAGUAACACGUCGGUAACCUACCCUCGGGAGGGGGAUAACCCCGGGAAACUGGGGCUAAUCCCCCAUAGGCCUGAGGUACUGGAAGGUCCUCAGGCCGAAAGGGUCUUUGACCGCCCGAGGAUGGGCCGGCGGCCGAUUAGGUAGUUGGUGGGGUAACGGCCCACCAAGCCGAAGAUCGGUACGGGCCAUGAGAGUGGGAGCCCGGAGAUGGACACUGAGACACGGGUCCAGGCCCUACGGGGCGCAGCAGGCGCGAAACCUCCGCAAUGCGGGCAACCGCGACGGGGGGACCCCCAGUGCCGUGGCAUCGCCACGGCUUUUCCGGAGUGUAAAAAGCUCCGGGAAUAAGGGCUGGGCAAGGCCGGUGGCAGCCGCCGCGGUAAUACCGGCGGCCCGAGUGGUGGCCGCUAUUAUUGGGCCUAAAGCGUCCGUAGCCGGGCCCGUAAGUCCCUGGCGAAAUCCCACGGCUCAACCGUGGGGCUUGCUGGGGAUACUGCGGGCCUUGGGACCGGGAGAGGCCGGGGGUACCCCUGGGGUAGGGGUGAAAUCCUAUAAUCCCAGGGGGACCGCCAGUGGCGAAGGCGCCCGGCUGGAACGGGUCCGACGGUGAGGGACGAAGGCCAGGGGAGCGAACCGGAUUAGAUACCCGGGUAGUCCUGGCUGUAAAGGAUACGGGCUAGGUGUCGGGUGAGCUUCGAGCUCGCCCGGUGCCGAAGGGAAGCCGUUAAGCCCGCCGCCUGGGGAGUACGGCCGCAAGGCUGAAACUUAAAGGAAUUGGCGGGGGAGCAC
rnacentral:rRNA from 1 species